rnacentral:rRNA from 1 species
AUUGAACGCUGGCGGCAGGCCUAACACAUGCAAGUCGAACGAGUGGCGGACGGGUGAGUAAUGUCUGGGAAACUGCCCGAUGGAGGGGGCUAACUACUGGAACCGGUAGCUAAUACCGCAUACCAUCGGAUGUGCACAGAUGGGAUUCGCUAGUAGGUGGGGUAACGGCUCACCUAGGCGACGCUCCCUAGCUGGUCUGAGAGGAUGACCAGCCAAACUGGAACUGAUACACGGUCCAGACUCCUACUGGAGGGAGAAGGGGGGAACAUCGCACAAUGGGCGCAAGCCUGAUGCAGCCAUGCCGCGUGUAUGAAGAAGGCCUUCGGGUUGUAAAGUACUUGCAGCGAGGAGGCGUUACUCGCAGAAGAAGCAUCGGCUAACUCCGUGCCAGCAGCCGCGGUAAUAC